rnacentral:rRNA from 1 species
UAAGGGGCANGCGUUAUCCGGAUUUAUUGGNUUUAAAGGGAGCGUACGCNGGAGAUUAAGCGUGUUGUGAAAUGUAGACGCUCAACGUCUGNACUGNAGCGCGAACUGGUUUCCUUGACUACGCACAAAGUGGGCGGAAUUCGUGGUGUAGCGNUGAAAUGCUUAGAUAUCACGAAGAACUCCCAUUGCNAAGGCAGCUCACUGNAGCGCAACUGACGCUGAANCUCGAAAGUGCGGGUAUCGAACAGGAUUAGAUACCCUGNUAGUCCGCACGGUAAACGAUGGAUGCCCGCUGUUGGUCUGAAUANGUCANCGNCCAAGCGAAAGCAUUAUACAUCCCACCUGNNGAGU